UAAUUACAGCACCUGUAUACUUUGUCCAGCUCAUGCUUGCAUGAAGCUGGACAAAGUAUACAAGGUGCGCCCCACCAUGAGGAAGAAGCGGGGAAGGGGCCCCGCGGAAUCCGAAUGGUGGGAGGGAUGCGGGAGUGCGGAGCACGGAGCAUCCCGUGUAAUUA
rfam:Clostridium sp. SY8519 DNA, complete genome.